GUGCUCACUUCGGCAGCACAUAUACUAAAAUUGGAACAAUACAGAGAAUAUUAGCAUGGACCCUGCGCCAGGAUGAUGCACAAAUUUGUGAAGCAUUCCAUAUUUGU
ensembl:snRNA U6 U6 spliceosomal RNA